rnacentral:rRNA from 1 species
GACGAACGCUGGCGGCGUGCUUAACACAUGCAAGUCGAGCGGUAAGGCCCUUUCGGGGGUACACGAGCGGCGAACGGGUGAGUAACACGUGGGUGACCUGCCCUCAGCUCUGGGAUAAGCCUGGGAAACCGGGUCUAAUACCGGAUAUGACUCCAUGACGCAUGUUGUGGGGUGGAAAGCCUUGUGCGGCUGAGGAUGGGCCCGCGGCCUAUCAGCUUGUUGGUGGGGUGAUGGCCUACCAAGGCGACGACGGGUAGCCGGCCUGAGAGGGCGACCGGCCACACUGGGACUGAGACACGGCCCAGACUCCUACGGGAGGCAGCAGUGGGGAAUCUUGCGCAAGUGGGCGAAAGCCUGACGCAGCGACGCCGCGUGA